rnacentral:lncRNA from 1 species
UGGAUUUGCUCAGAGAAGACAAAAAAAAAAAUAAAUCUGCUGGUUUUCUAGAAUAUUCUGAUUCAAUUGCUAACAGUAAAAAUGUACAAAUUAGGAACAUUAUGAUUUCCUUAAAAUGUCUGGCUCAUUGAAAGCAGGGUCUGAGCAAAAUAAUGUGCCUGCAGUUAUAAAAAUCUCUGCUUUUAGAAAUGGGGAAGAAUUACGAGACUUUUCUUAAGAAAGGCAUGUUGACAGCUAUAAAAAGCCAAUGUUAAUAGUACUAUUAAAAUCAGUGUAAGUGAUUGUGCUAGUAGGGCAAUCAAGAUUUGGCCCAAUACCCUUGCUUUGUAAACAUCAGCAUCCCUGAGAUUAAUAUAAUACUGACUAGCCAAUGACAUGUUAAAACCUUAGUAAAAUUAACUGUGUUUGAAAGGCUGUUCCUUUAAAAUGUAAAGCAAAUGGCUGAAAUAAAAUGUGGGAUACAGGGGGAGAAGAGAAAAUCAAUAAACCAGCAAACUGUAAAUGAUGUGUAAAUAACUUCUUUAUGUUUUCCUGUUUUUGUAGUUUACAGUUAGCACCAGUAUAUAAAUCUAAGAGCUUUGUGCAAGGGAAGAAAAGUAGAUCCAAAUCUAAAGAGUGUUGUGGACUGCCGAUAGAUAACCACAAAAAUGCUCUUGCGUCUAGGAAGACUGGUCCCUUCCUCAUGAUUUCAGAAUAAAAUAGGCGAUGGGAAAUGGGCAAGCAAGGUUGGUGUAUAUCACUAGAUGCAGAGAAUGGCCAUAAAGAAUUACUGAAGGUUAGGUAGAAAGAGCUCCUCAUUUGGUGGGCUGACUGAAAUCAUCUGAGGCCCUG